rnacentral:rRNA from 2 species
UGCUUAGGUCUGAUGUGAAAGCCUUCGGCUUAACCGAAGAAGGGCAUCGGAAACCGGGCGACUUGAGUGCAGAAGAGGACAGUGGAACUCCAUGUGUAGCGGUGGAAUGCGUAGAUAUAUGGAAGAACACCAGUGGCGAAGGCGGCUGUCUGGUCUGCAACUGACGCUGAGGCUCGAAAGCAUGGGUAGCGAACAGGAUUAGAUACCCUGGUAGUCCAUGCCGUAAACGAUGAGUGCUAGGUGUUGGAGGGUUUCCGCCCUUCAGUGCCGGAGCUAACGCAUUAAGCACUCCGCCUGGGGAGUACGACCGCAAGGUUGAAACUCAAAGGAAUUGACGGGGGCCCGCACAAGCGGUGGAGCAUGUGGUUUAAUUCGAAGCUACGCGAAGAACCUUACCAGGUCUUGACAUCUUGCGCUAACCUAAGAGAUUAGGCGUUCCCUUCGGGGACGCAAUGACAGGUGGUGCAUGGUCGUCGUCAGCUCGUGUC